rnacentral:rRNA from 1 species
UACAGAGGGUGCUAGCGUUGUUCGGAAUCAUUGGGCGUAAAGGGCGUGUAGGCGGUUUGUUAAGUCAUGUGUGAAAUCCCUCGGCUCAACCGGGGAACGACGCAUGAAACUGGCAAGCUAGAGUACCAAAGAGGGGGGUGGAAUUCCACGUGUAGCAGUGAAAUGCGUAGAGAUGUGGAGGAACACCGAUGGCGAAGGCAGCCCCCUGGGUUAACACUGACGCUCAGGCACGAAAGCGUGGGGAGCAAACAGG